rnacentral:rRNA from 1 species
AUUGAACGCUGGCGGCAUGCUUUACACAUGCAAGUCGAACGGUAACAGGCCGCAAGGUGCUGACGAGUGGCGAACGGGUGAGUAAUGCAUCGGAACGUGCCCAGUCGUGGGGGAUAACUACUCGAAAGAGUAGCUAAUACCGCAUACGAUCUAUGGAUGAAAGCGGGGGACCGUAAGGCCUCGCGCGAUUGGAGCGGCCGAUGUCAGAUUAGGUAGUUGGUGGGGUAAAGGCUCACCAAGCCAACGAUCUGUAGCUGGUCUGAGAGGACGACCAGCCACACUGGGACUGAGACACGGCCCAGACUCCUACGGGAGGCAGCAGUGGGGAAUUUUGGACAAUGGGCGCAUGCCUGAUCCAGCAAUGCCGCGUGCAGGAAGAAGGCCUUCGGGUUGUAAACUGCUUUUGUACGGAACGAAACGGCUCUGGUUAAUACCCGGGGCUAAUGACGGUACCGUAAGAAUAAGCACCGGCUAACUACGUG